rnacentral:rRNA from 1 species
ACAGAGGUGGCAAGCGUUGUUCGGAAUUACUGGGCGUAAAGGGCGCGUAGGCGGCCAUCUAAGUCAGACGUGAAAUCCCCCGGCUCAACCUGGGAACUGCGUCUGAUACUGGAAGGCUCGAGUUUGGGAGAGGGAUGUAGAAUUCCAGGUGUAGCGGUGAAAUGCGUAGAUAUCUGGAGGAAUACCGGUGGCGAAGGCGGCAUCCUGGACCAAUACUGACGCUGAGGCGCGAAAGCUAGGGGAGCAAACGGGAUUAGAUACCCCGGUAGUCCUAGCCCUAAACGAUGAAUACUUGGUGUGGCGGGUAUCGAUCCCUGCCGUGCCGAAGCUAACGCAUUAAGUAUUCCGCCUGGGGAGUACGGUCGCAAGGCUG